AUGAGCUCUCGGAUGGCCGGAUCGGUCCUCCUCCGCCGCGCCGGCGCUGGCGCUAGCCGCCUCUUCUCCACCACCACGAUGUCCCCAGGGGCCAGGACCUUCCUCGCCGGCGGCAAGGGCACGUGGGUGCGGAUGAUGUCCACUUCUGCGGCCUCGCAGGUCAAGGACGAGGCGGCUAAGUUGGUUUCGCUACCGCGGCCAUGGGAGACGUACACCAUGGACAUGUCGAUCGAUCUGACCAAGCACCACGUGCCCAACACGAUGCUUGACAAGAUAGCCUACUACACCGACAAGUCCCUGCACUUCCCCACCGACAUCUUCUUCCAGGACGAGCUGCAGCAGGACAACCUGGAGCGGAAGAACUUCGAGGGCAAGAUCAAGGAGAACCAGGAGACGAUCACCGGUUACCUCAUCCUCGCCGGCAUGCUUGGCUCCUUUGACAGACCCCUCUUUGGCUCCGACCAACUUACUUUUGUCGCUGGCUAG
rnacentral:rRNA from 1 species